CCCUGGAAGAUGGGGAAUCAAGCAGGAAUCGCACCAGCAGAAUCAGAGUGGAGACCUAUAGCACUGAGUGCAGCUCUGGUAUGCAAUGGGUGCUUGGACUAAAGUCAAGGAAGCCUGCUGUGAUGGCUCUCUUCUGCGCUUCCUAGAAAGACUGACUGUGACUUCAGAACUCAGCCCACAGUGGAUGGAAAUGCCAUGUUCCUAUGUGAUCUCCCUCAUGGUACCAUAGGCUGACUUGCUCCCUGUCAAGUCCCAGCUGACACACACAACACCUGGCACACUUCAGUUAUCGCACACUUCCAUCCCUGUGAUUAAAGGUAUGCUGAACCAAA